GUGAGGAAUAUUGGUCAAUGGACGAGAGUCUGAACCAGCCAAGUAGCGUGCAGGAUGACUGCCCUAUGGGUUGUAAACUGCUUUUAUGCGGGAAUAAAGUCAGGUACGUGUACCUGUUUGUAUGUACCGCAUGAAUAAGGACCGGCUAAUUCCGUGCCAGCAGCCGCGGUAAUACGGAAGGUCCGGGCGUUAUCCGGAUUUAUUGGGUUUAAAGGGAGCGCAGGCGGAAGGUUAAGCGUGACGUGAAAUGUACCGGCUCAACCGGUGAUGUGCGUCGCGAACUGGCUUUCUUGAGUGAGUACGACGCUGGCGGAAUUCGUGGUGUAGCGGUGAAAUGCUUAGAUAUCACGAAGAACUCCGAUUGCGAAGGCAGCCGGCGAGUCCUCAACUGACGCUAAUGCUCGAAAGUGCGGGUAUCGAACAGG
rnacentral:rRNA from 1 species